CAAACGGGCACUUCCAAAUUAGCUCAAAGUAUCCAAAUCCAAAGAAGAGAGAAAACACAGAGUCAAACGCAGAGGUGCUAACUUGUCCCCUGGGACAAAACGAUCUGUGAUGAACACACACAAUCAUUAACCAAGAAUGUGUCAAGAAAUUCCUAAUUGCUUAAGAGUGUCCAGUGCUGCAGAAAAUUGGGAAGGGAGUCCCUCUGAUACCAGGAAGAGGAAACUUAUUCUUGGCAUCUGCAUCCUGAACUUGAAGUGGUACCUUUAAAUUAUAUGCAGAGGCUGGCAACCCACCACGUGUCGAGGUGGCUGAGAAUAACGUUAGUAAUGGUGAUGGAUGUGGACUUGCGGAUUGAAGGGUUUAUGCCUUCGAGGGCGGAGCCAUGCCACCGUCUCCUGACACCUCCCUUCAGCCAGUCUCCGCUGUCCCAUGACAUCCUGUGUCGAUAACGUCACCUUCCCUUCGGGGAAAACGUGACUCUUCGGGAACAGAGGAAGUCAACGGCAUAACCCCUGGAAUCGACCAAACGGGAAAGUUCCUUGUGCAGAUAACUGACCUUGGGGAAGUCGUAUGGCAGCGUCCAGACACCCUGAAGGCUGUGUCCUGGAAAGCCCCGUGUGGGGCCCCCACAGUAAGCAGCACGGCACGUGCUGCUAAAGGUAUUACUCAAGUGCCUUUCGCUGCGUAAGUCCUUU